rnacentral:rRNA from 1 species
GACGAACGCUGGCGGCGUGCUUAACACAUGCAAGUCGAACGGACAGGCCCUGCUUUUGUGGGUUGCUCGAGUGGCGAACGGGUGAGUAACACGUGAGUAACCUGCCCUUGACUUUGGGAUAACUUCAGGAAACUGGGGCUAAUACCGGAUAGGAGCUCCUGCUGCAUGGUGGGGGUUGGAAAGUUUCGGCGGUUGGGGAUCGACUCGAGGGUUAUCAGCUUGUUGGUGGGGUAGUUGCUUACCAGGGGUUUGACGGGUAGCCGGCCUGAGAGGGUGACCGGCCACAAUGGUACUGAGGUACGGCGCAGAAUCCAACGGGAGGCAGCAGGGGAGAAUAUGACACAGUGGGCGGAAGCCUGAGGCAGCGAUGCCGCGAGCGGGAUAACGGGCUACUGGUGAUAAACCGCUGUCGCCGUAGCCGAAGCGGGCGUGACGGUAAUGGGUAAGGAAGCAACGGCUAACUACGUG